UGGGAGCAGGAAACCCAAAAGAGCCGGCCCUGGAACCAGGUGGAGGGGAGGCAGCCCGGCCAUGACCCAGAGCAGGACACCUGCUCCACUUCACCUUUUGCCAUGAGUAAAAGCUCCCUGAGGCCUCCCAAGAAGUUGAUGCCCUGUGCUUCCUGUACAGCUGCGGAACCGGAUGGCUUUCCGUGGCUUUGCUACAGCCACUCCUGGAAGUGCUGCCUGACUGAAUCCUCAGGGCACCCCGGCAGGAUGGACGUGGUGUACCCCCUACUUUACAGAUGGGGAAACUGAGGCUUGAGAGCUAAAGCAGCCCACCCAGCUCCCAGAGAUGAGGAGGCCGACUCUGGCAGGAGUCACUGUCGGUGCAUGGGCAUUUCUUCCUGUUACAGCCUGCGGCCCCUUCCAGGCCGGGAGGCCUUCUGCGCAGGUGCCCUGACGUGAUGGUAUGACCCAUUCUGGGAGGCCGAGAGCACCUCAAAGAACUCAGCAGGAAGCACAGUUUCAAUUCAGAAGUUCUGGAAGGCGAGGCAGGACAGGGCACCCUCCCUGCAUGGCCCGAUGACCUGCACUCCUGUUUCAUCUCCCCGUGUGGCACCUGGGGCAGCUUGGAGCCUACCAAGGUCUCAACAAGGAACCAGUAAAUACCAAAAAAAGGACAUCACGUCCCCUACAGCUAACUGCAAAUGGUGACCAUCCCAGCCCUUGUUUGAUAACACAAGCAAAGCAAUGGCUUCUUCAAGGACACCGAGAGGAACCUCACCUCUUUCUAAAACCUCCAACACAGGGCCAGGCGCGGUGGCUCAUGCGUGUAAUCCCAGCACUUUGGGAGGCCGAGGCAGGUGGAUCACGAGGUCAGGAGAUCGAGACCAUCCUGGCUAACACGGUGAAACCCCGUCUCUACUAAAAAUAAAAAAAAUUAGCCGGG
rnacentral:lncRNA from 1 species